UACGAAGGGUGCAAACGUUGCUCGGAAUUACUGGGCGUAAAGCGCACGUAGGCGGAUUGUUAAGUCGGGGGUGAAAUCCUGGAGCUCAACUCCAGAACUGCCUUCGAAACUGGCGAUCUUGAGUUCGGGAGAGGUGAGUGGAACUGCGAGUGUAGAGGUGAAAUUCGUAGAUAUUCGCAAGAACACCAGUGGCGAAGGCGGCUCACUGGCCCGAUACUGACGCUGAGGUGCGAAAGCGUGGGGAGCAAACAGG
rnacentral:rRNA from 1 species